rnacentral:tRNA from 1 species
GAAGGUUUAGUUAAUUUAUAACAUUAGAAUGUCAAACUAAAAUUAUCAUUAUCUUGAUAUCCUUUU